GAUGAACGCUGGCGGCGUGCCUAAUACAUGCAAGUAGAACGCUGAAGUAGGAUCUUGCUCUUCUGGAUGAGUUGCGAACGGUUGAGUAACGCGUAGGUAACCUGCCUGGUAGCGGGGGAUAACUAUUGGAAACGAUAGCUAAUACCGCAUGACAACAGUUAUUGCAUGAUAACUGUUUAAAAGGGGCAACUGCUCCACUACCAGAUGGACCUGCGUUGUAUUAGCUAGUUGGUGAGGUAACGGCCCAACAAGGCGAAGAUACAUAGCCGACCUGAGAGGGGGAACGGCCACACUGGGACUGAGACACGGCCCAGACUCCUACGGGAGGCAGCAGGAGGGAAUCUUCGGCAAUGGACGGAAGUCUGACCGAGCAACGCCGCGUGAGUGAAGAAGGUUUUCGGAUCGUAAAGCUCUGUUGUAAGAGAAGAACGAGUGUGAGAGUGGAAAGUUCACACUGUGACGGUAUCUUACCAGAAAGGGACGGCUAACUACGUG
rnacentral:rRNA from 1 species